rnacentral:rRNA from 1 species
AGAACGAACGCUGGCGGCAUGCCUAAUACAUGCAAGUCGAACGAACACUUCGGUGUUAGUGGCGCACGGGUGCGUAACGCGUGGGAAUCUGCCCUUGGGUUCGGAAUAACAGUUGGAAACGACUGCUAAUACCGGAUGAUGACGAAAGUCCAAAGAUUUAUCGCCCAGGGAUGAGCCCGCGUAGGAUUAGCUAGUUGGUGAGGUAAAGGCUCACCAAGGCGACGAUCCUUAGCUGGUCUGAGAGGAUGAUCAGCCACACUGGGACUGAGACACGGCCCAGACCUCCUACGGGAGCAGCAGUAGGGAAUAUUGGACAAGUGGGCGCAAGCCUGAU